CGUAUUUCUAGGACACUUUUCACCUCUGACCUCCGCAGCUGUCUUCUCUUCUGGGGAUCUCUUAUCUCCAGAUUGCAGCGUCUGCACCUCAGAGGCUCACAAAAGUCUUCGUCUGUACCUGAGAUCACAUAGAAUCAGGAGCCAAACUCUAGCACCUGCAGCCUAAAAACCCUUUAAGACUUCAGUUUUCUAAGACAAAGUGACUGCCUAUGACGUGAGAUUUUUCAUGGAUGCUAGGACUGCUCUGAUACCUUCCCGGCCCCUCCUCCAACUGGCUUAUGCCUGGAGUUCCACCUGUAGAGAUGCAUCCUUCAGGAGAGGAGGAAUUUACCUAGACUGUUCAGGCAGGCUUCGGGUCUCCAGGAACUCUUGAAACUAUACUCAAAGGAAUGGAAUCAUAUAGUGGGCAGCAGAGACGGCGAGAUUUUAAUCUCAAGCAAAGAGGAGCUUUUUAGAGAUGAAACUUCUUUAAAGCAUCUUAAGGCAAAUGGGGCAGUUGAUAAAGGAAGCUUGUGCUAUAAAAACCGCCAUGGAUAAUGGAACUUCGGCAGGUAUGGUAUUUCCACACAUACUCCCUAAAAUGAACACCAGAUAUGUCACAUCUCUACUGUAAACCUUCAGUGGUUUCCCGUUGUCUUUAGGAUAAAAUCCAGACUCUUCAUGUGGCUUGCCAGGCCCUGUGUGAUGUGACACCUACUGCCUCCUCUAGCCCUGCCUCUCCCCAUUCUCUUCCUCAUUCUCCGCUUCAAAACCUAGGUGCUGGCUACUCUGCUCUGGUGUUUCUGUGUAAAGUGCCCUCUCUCUCACUGCUGGGCCUCUGUGCAUGAUUUUCUUUCUAUCAAGAACAUUUUCCUCUGACCCCUACCUCUUUGGCUUCAGACUUUGAUUUCUUGUGGAAGCGCUUCCUGACCUUCCCAGUUUGGCUUACACACCAUUCUUGUGGGCUCCAACACUUGCACUUCCCCCAUUUCAGUGCUUCUGAACUACACUGUAAUUGCGUGUUUCCUUGUAUGUCUCAACUAGACUUUCAACUCCAUGAAGCUCCAGGGGAACAGAAGCCAAGUCUGUCUCACUUGUACUUGUAUUUUUAGCACCUCGCAUGGAGCCUGGCACAGGGUGGCUUCUCAACAAUUACACUUUAAAUUGAGAUUGAGUCAAAGAAACAAAC
rnacentral:lncRNA from 1 species